rnacentral:rRNA from 1 species
AGAGUUUGAUCCUGGCUCAGGACGAACGCUGGCGGCGUGCCUAAUGCAUGCAAGUCGCACGCGCCACCUUCGGGUGGUGAGUGGCGCACGGCUGAGGAACACGUGGGAACAUGGCUCCUGGUGGGGGACAACAGCGCGAAAGCGCUGCUAAUCCCGCAUCCGCUCGUGAAAACGAGGAAAGCGUGCAAACGCGCCGGGAGGGUGGCCCGCGGCCCAUCAGGUCGUCGGUGGGGUAACGGCCUACCGAGCCGAUGACGGGUAGCUGGUCUGUGAGGACAACCAGCCAGACUGGGACUGAGACACGGCCCAGACUCCUACGGGAGGCAGCAGCAAGGAAUUUUCGUCAAUGGGCGCAAGCCUGAACGAGCAACGCCGCGUGGAGGAUGACGGCCUUCGGGUUGUAAACUCCUUUUGCGGGGGACGAUGAUGACGGUACCCCGCGAAUAAGGCUCGGCUAACUCUGUGCCAGCAGCCGCGGUAAUAC